rnacentral:rRNA from 1 species
GAUGAACGCUGGCGGCGUGCCUAAUACAUGCAAGUCGAGCGAACAGACGAGGAGCUUGCUCCUCUGACGUUAGCGGCGGACGGGUGAGUAACACGUGGAUAACCUACCUAUAAGACUGGGAUAACUUCGGGAAACCGGAGCUAAUACCGGAUAAUAUAUUGAACCGCAUGGUUCAAUAGUGAAAGACGGUUUUGCUGUCACUUAUAGAUGGAUCCGCGCCGCAUUAGCUAGUUGGUAAGGUAACGGCUUACCAAGGCAACGAUGCGUAGCCGACCUGAGAGGGUGAUCGGCCACACGGGAGCGUAGACACGGUCCAGACGCCUACGAGACGCAGCAGUAGGGAACCGGCCGCAAUAGGCGGAAGCCUGACGGAGCAACGCCGCGUGAGAGAUAAAGGUCUUCGGAGCGUAAUACUCUGUUAUGAGGGAAGAACAAAUGUGGAAGGAACUAUGCACGUCGUGACGGUACCUAGUCAGAAAGCCACGGCUAACUACGUG